rnacentral:rRNA from 1 species
GAUGAACGCUGGCGGCGUGCCUAAUACAUGCAAGUCGAGCGAACGGACGAGAAGCUUGCUUCUCUGAUGUUAGCGGCGGACGGGUGAGUAACACGUGGAUAACCUACCUAUAAGACUGGGAUAACUUCGGGAAACCGGAGCUAAUACCGGAUAAUAUUUUGAACCGCAUGGUUCAAAAGUGAAAGACGGUCUUGCUGUCACUUAUAGAUGGAUCCGCGCUGCAUUAGCUAGUUGGUAAGGUAACGGCUUACCAAGGCAACGAUGCAUAGCCGACCUGAGAGGGUGAUCGGCCACACUGGAACUGAGACACGGUCCAGACUCCUACGGGGGGCAGCGGUAGGGAAUCUUCCGCAAUGGGCGAAAGCCUGACGGAGCAACGCCGCGUGAGUGAUGAAGGUCUUCGGAUCGUAAAACUCUGUUAUUAGGGAAGAACAUAUGUGUAAGUAACUGUGCACAUCUUGACGGUACCUAAUCAGAAAGCCACGGCUAACUACGUG